GGAGGGGACCGGGCAGCCGCUGCGCCGUACGGUGCAGAGGAAAGUCCGGACUCCACAGGGCCGCAAGCCUGCUAACGGCAGGGAGGGGUAACCCUACGGAAAGUGCCACAGAAAACAAACCGCCCGAAGGGCUUCGGCCCAGAGGGUAAGGGUGAAACGGCGGGGUAAGAGCCCACCGCUCUUCCGGCAACGGAAGAGGCACGGUAAACCCCUUGCGGAGCAAGGCCAAAUAGGGAGGUGUUCGAGGCUGGCCCGGCCGAAACCUCCGGGUAGGCUGCUGGAGGCCGCCGGUGACGACGGUCCCAGAGGAAUGGCUGCCACCCCCGGGCGACCGGGGGGACAGAAUCCGGCUUACAGGUCCCCUCCAGGA
rnacentral:RNase_P_RNA from 1 species